rnacentral:rRNA from 1 species
UACGGAGGGGGCUAGCGUUGUUCGGAAUUACUGGGCGUAAAGCGCACGUAGGCGGCUUUGUAAGUUAGAGGUGAAAGCCCGGGGCUCAACUCCGGAAUUGCCUUUAAGACUGCAUCGCUAGAAUUGUGGAGAGGUGAGUGGAAUUCCGAGUGUAGGGGUGAAAUUCGUAGAUAUUCGGAAGAACACCAGUGGCGAAGGCGACUCACUGGACACAUAUUGACGCUGAGACGCGAAAGCGUGGGGAGCGAACAGG